rnacentral:rRNA from 1 species
AGUGAACGCUGGCGGUAGGCCUAACACAUGCAAGUCGAACGGCAGCACAGUAAGAGCUUCCUCUUACGGGUGGCGAGUGGCGGACGGGUGAGGAAUACAUCGGAAUCUACUUUUUCGUGGGGGAUAACGUAGGGAAACUUACGCUAAUACCGCAUACGACCUGCGGGUGAAAGCAGGGGAUCUUCGGACCUUGCGCGAUUGAAUGAGCCGAUGUCGGAUUAGCUAGUUGGCGGGGUAAAGGCCCACCAAGGCGACGAUCCGUAGCUGGUCUGAGAGGAUGAUCAGCCACACUGGAACUGAGACACGGUCCAGACUCCUACGGGAGGCAGCAGUGGGGAAUAUUGGACAAUGGGCGCAAGCCUGAUCCAGCCAUACCGCGUGGGUGAAGAAGGCCUUCGGGUUGUAAAGCCCUUUUGUUGGGAAAGAAAAGCAGCAGGUUAAUACCCCGCUGUUCUGACGGUACCCAAAGAAUAAGCACCGGCUAACUUCGUG